rnacentral:rRNA from 1 species
AUACGGAGGAUGCGAGCGUUAUCCGGAUUCAUUGGGUUUAAAGGGUGCGUAGGCGGACUAUUAAGUCAGUGGUGAAAUCCUGCAGCUUAACUGCAGAACUGCCAUUGAUACUGAUAGCCUUGAGUUUGGUUAAGGUAGGCGGAAUGUGUAAUGUAGCGGUGAAAUGCUUAGAUAUGACACGGAACACCAAUUGCGAAGGCAGCUCACAAAACUGUAACUGACGCUGAGGCACGACAGCGUGGGGAUC